rnacentral:rRNA from 1 species
UACGUAGGGUGCUAGCGUUGUCCGGAUUUAUUGGGCGUAAAGAGCGUGUAGGCGGCCAGGUAGGUCUGCUGUGAAAACUCGAGGCUCAACCUCGAGACGUCGGCGGAAACCAUCUGGCUAGAGUCCGGAAGAGGAGAGUGGAAUUCCUGGUGUAGCGGUGAAAUGCGCAGAUAUCAGGAGGAACACCAGUGGCGAAGGCGGUGCUCUGGGCCGGAACUGACGCUGAUGAGCGAAAGCGUGGGGAGCAAACAGG